UACAGAGGUCCCGAGCGUUGUCCGGAUUUAUUGGGCGUAAAGAGCGUGUAGGCGGCCAGGUAGGUCUGCUGUGAAAACUCGAGGCUUAACCUCGAGCUGUCGGCGGAAACCAUCUGGCUAGAGUCCGGAAGAGGAGAAUGGAAUUCCCGGUGUAGCGGUGAAAUGCGCAGAUAUCGGGAAGAACACCCGUGGCGAAGGCGGUUCUCUGGGACGGUACUGACGCUGAGACGCGAAAGCGUGGGGAGCGAACAGG
rnacentral:rRNA from 1 species